ACUUUGGAGGCCAGUUUGUUUUUUUUCUCGGGAGCAAAGGUUUUAGGUUUGUAACUGAGCCCAGAGACUUCUGGGUGAGAGCUUUCCCAAUCUAAGUUGCGCUCAUCUGGAAAUUUGUGCGGGGAAAGUAAUUAAAAGAUUAAGAGAAAGCACCAUGGGUCGACUUGAUGGAAAGGUCAUCGUUCUGACAGCUGCUGCCCAAGGAAUUGGUCGGGCAGCUGCUUUAGCUUUUGCCAAAGAAGGAGCCAAAGUCAUAGCAACAGAUAUCAAUGAAUCCAAACUUCGAGAGCUAAAUGAACAUGCAGGCAUUCAAACUCGAGUUCUUGAUGUGACAAAAAAGGAUCAAAUUGACAAGUUCUCUGAGGAAAUUGAGAGACUUGAUGUUCUUUUUAAUGUUGCUGGAUUCGUUCAUCAUGGAACCAUCUUGGAAUGCGAGGAGAAAGACUGGGACUUUACCAUGAAUCUGAAUGUCCGAAGCAUGUAUUUGAUGAUUAAAGCAUUUCUUCCUAAAAUGCUUGCCCAGAAAUCUGGCACCAUUAUCAACAUGUCUUCUGUAGCUUCUAGCAUCAAAGGAACUGUCAACAGAUGUGUGUACGGCACCUCCAAAGCUGCUGUGAUUGGAUUGACAAAAUCCGUGGCUGCUGAUUUCAUCCACCAGGGCAUCAGGUGCAAUUGUGUGUGUCCAGGAACUGUGGACACGCCGUCUCUGCACGACAGAAUCCAGGCUAGCCCGGACCCCCAAAAGGCAUUGAGUGAUUUCAUGAGCAGACAGAAGACCGGGAGGCUAGCAACCGCAGAGGAAGUGGCCCUGUUGUGUGUGUACUUGGCUUCUGAUGAAGCUUCCAACGCCGAGAGAGUGGGACUGUCUCUGUGCACCGACUUUUCCACUUAAAUCUCCUUCACGCACAAGUGUCUUUGUGCACACUCAUCUAUCAUAGAUGAAAGCUCCCAAAGUCAAUCGUCAUCCUCGGUUACCGAGAGACUACUACUACUACUACCUUCUGACAGAAUUAAUACUAAGCACUGGUUAUAAGUCUGCCUAUAUGACUGGUAAUGACGUCAUCAUCGAUGGAGGCUGGAGCUUGUGAUUUCUGAAUCGUAACAGUGGAAAAGAAGCCCCUUCCUAGUUAUACUUGGCUUUACUGUAAAUUUUAAUCACUUACAAAUUUAUAUAGCAUUUACUGGUUUUAAAAUCAUACUUAAAUUUCAUUGCUAAAGGAUACAUUGAAUUUAAUCAGUAAUUUGCUUUUAUUCCUCAUAGAGACAAAUCAUAGUCAUUGUUUAUAUUGAUUCAAUUGGAAGGUAUUCAAUCUAUUACCCGAUUCUGAAAUAUUCUUGGUCUUUUUCUGUCCUCUUGAACUUUUCAGAUACUCAGAAUAAAAUUAUGCUAUAUUCA